CCUACGGGCGGCAGCAGUGAGGAAUAUUGGUCAAUGGGCGCGAGCCUGAACCAGCCAAGUAGCGUGAAGGAUGACUGCCCUACGGGUUGUAAACUUCUUUUAUAAAGGAAUAAAGUGAGGCACGUGUGCCUGUUUGUAUGUAAUUUAUAAAUAAAGAUCGGCUAACUCCGUACCAGAAGCCGCGGGAAUACGGAGGAUCCGAGCUUUAUCCGGAUUUAUUGGGUUUAAAGGGAGCGUAGAUGGGUUGUUAAGGAAGUUUUGAAAGUUUGCGGCUCAACCGUAAAAUUGCAAUUGAUACUGGCAGUCUUGAGUACAGUUGAGGUAGGCGGAAUUCGUGGUGUAGCGGUGAAAUGCUUAGAUAUCACGAAGAACUCCGAUUGCGAAGGCAGCUUACUAAACUGCCACUGACAUUGAUGCUCGAAAGUGUGGGUAUCAAACAGGAUUAGAUACCCGAGUAGUC
rnacentral:rRNA from 1 species